UCUCUCUCUCUCUCUCUCUCUCUCAAAUCCUGUCGGCGGUGGAGCCACAUAUCCCGUCGAUGGCUAGCGGGGGAGGCCAACGGCGGUCCCGUCGGUGGUGGAGCCAUCGAUCCCGAGCGCCCGUAGGAGGAGAACCACCCCGAUCCUCGUCGUCUCCACGCCCCAGAUCCACCUCGUCUCGGCGCUGAUCUACCUCGUCUCCGCCCCCGAUCCGUCGAGGCCGAGCUAGCAGGGAGCAGCACAAAAGCCACCAUGGCCGCUGCCCAUGGAAGUCCACCUCUGGAUCCGUUUGCCGCCGACGUCCGCGUGGACCCUCAUCCACGCCAACGUGGUCCAGCCAACCCCGAUGCCCCCCGUUGGCCCAGAUCCAAAGCGCCCCGUUGACCCUCCCCAGGGCCUCCUUCCACGCUGCAGCGGCGGUGGCCAAGCGUCCGUCAUGGGGAUGCACGGGCGAGGAGGAUCUGGUGAGCUCCGGCGCCGAUUCCGGGUGCUCCGGCGAGCUCCCACGUUGAUUCCUUUGGCUCCGACGAGCUCCGGCACCGAUUCCUUUGGCUCCGGCGAGCUCAUACUCGACCUUCAGACGGUGUGUUUUCAAUGUUGACCCAUCAUUUCUAACACUUGAUGCAAAUUAGCUAGUAUAGCUGGCAACUAUGUAUUGAUGAUUAAUUAUAUUCGAGAUGAGACCGACCUUAAGUACUGAUUUGUGUUAAUUACUGGUGUUUUAGUUAGUUUAUGCAGUGUUAAUUAUUGCAUAAAAAAGUAAUGCAAAAUUGAUAUUAUGUUUAUAACAUGGCAGUGUCCGUUAAGAGAUAUUUGGUCCA